rnacentral:rRNA from 1 species
UGAAUACGAGACGCUAAGGCGUCGAAGUAGUGUAUGUCAUACUUCCAAGAAAAGCUUGCACUGUCAUAAGUAAAAAAUGCCUGUACCAUAACCGACACAGGUGGGUAGGUAGAGUAUACUAAGGGGCGCGAGAUAACUCUCUCUAAGGAACUCGGCAAAAUAACUCCGUAACUUCGGGAGAAGGAGUACCUUAUUCUAUAAGGUUGCAAUAACAAGAUCCAAGCAACUGUUUAUCAAAAACACAGGUCUCCGCUAAGUCGUAAGACGAUGUAUGGGGGCUGACGCCUGCCCAGUGCCAGAAGGUUAAAGAAGUCGGUUAGCAUUAGCGAAGCUGGUAACUGAAGCCCUGGUGAACGGCGGCCGUAACAAUAACGGUCCUAAGGUAGCGAAAUUCCUUGUCGGGUAAGUUCCGACCCGCACGAAAGGCGUAAUGAUUUGGAUACUGUCUCGGAGAGGGGCUCGGUGAAAUAGACUUGUCUGUGAAGAUGCGGACUACCUGCACCAGGACAGAAAGACCCUAUGAAGCUUUACUGUAACUUGAAAUUGAAAUUGGACUUUAUUCGCGCAGUAUAGGUGGGAGGUGUUGAUUAUAAUCUUGCGGGAUUAUUGGAGCCAUCAGUGAGAUACCACUCUUGUAAUGUUAGAUUUCUAACUUUGAAUCAUUAUCUGGUCAAAGGACAGUUUCAGGCGGGCAGUUUGACUGGGGCGGUCGCCUCCCAAACGGUAACGGAGGCGUACAAAGGUUUCCUCUGAACGGGUAGAAAUCGUAUCUAGAGUGUAAAGGCAUAAGGAAGCUUGACUGUGAGACCUACAAGUCGAACAGGGACGAAAGUCGGUCUUAGUGAUCUGACGGUACUGAGUGGAAAGGCCGUCACUCAACGGAUAAAAGUUACUCUAGGAUAACAGGCUGAUCUCCCCCAAGAGUUCACAUCGACGGGGAGGUUUGGCACCUCGAUGUCGGCUCAUCGCAUCCUGGGGCGGUAGUACGUCCCAAGGGUUGGGCUGUUCGCCCAUGAAAGCGGUACGCGAGCUGGGUUCAGAACGUCGUGAGACAGUUCGGUCCAUAUCCGGUGUAGGCGUUAGAAUAUUGAGAGGAGCCUUCUUUAGUACGAGAGGACCGAGAAGGACAUACCUCUGGUGUACCAGUUAUCGUGCCAACGGUAAACGCUGGGUAGCUAUGUAUGGAGUGGAUAACCGCUGAAAGCAUCUAAGUGGGAAGCCCACCUCAAGAUAAGUAUUCUCAU